GUGGGGAAUAUUGGACAAUGGGCGCAAGCCUGAUCCAGCCAUGCCGCGUGAGUGAUGAAGGCCCUAGGGUUGUAAAGCUCUUUCACCGGUGAAGAUAAUGACGGUAACCGGAGAAGAAGCCCCGGCUAACUUCGUGCCAGCAGCCGCGGUAAUACGAAGGGGGCUAGCGUUGUUCGGAAUUACUGGGCGUAAAGCGCACGUAGGCGGACAUUUAAGUCAGGGGUGAAAUCCCAGAGCUCAACUCUGGAACUGCCUUUGACACUGGGUGUCUUGAGUAUGGAAGAGGUAAGUGGAAUUCCGAGUGUAGAGGUGAAAUUCGUAGAUAUUCGGAGGAACACCAGUGGCGAAGGCGGCUUACUGGUCCAUUACUGACGCUGAGGUGCGAAAGCGUGGGGAGCAAACAGGAUUAGAUACCCGAGUAGUCC
rnacentral:rRNA from 1 species